GCCGAAAUAGCUCAGUUGGGAGAGCGUUAGACCAAAGACUUAAAGGUUCUUGGUUCGAUCCCGAGUUUUGGUA